rnacentral:rRNA from 1 species
CCUACGGGGGGCAGCAGUGGGGAAUAUUGCACAAUGGGCGAAAGCCUGAUGCAGCGACGCCGCGUGAAGGAUGAAGUAUUUCGGCAUGUAAACCUCUAUCAGCAGGGAAGAAAAUGACGGUACCUGACCAAGAAGCCCCGUCUAACUACGUGCCAGCAGCCGCGGUAAUACGUAGGGGGCAGCCGUUAUCCGGAUUUACUGGGUGUAAAGGGGGCGUAGACGGCUAUGCAAGCCAGUUGUGAAAGCCCGGGGCCCAACCCCGGGACUGCAGUUGGAACUGUAUGGCUGGAGUGUAGGAGAGGCAGGUGGAAUUCCUAGUGUAGCGGUGAAAUGCGUAGAUAUUAGGAGGAACACCGGUGGCGAAGGCGGCUUGCUGGACGGUGACUGACGUUGAGGCUCGAAAGCGUGGGGAGCAAACAGGAUUAGAUACCCCAGUAGUC